CGGGUUUGGGACUCCCUAGGGUCCUUUUUCAAGGUAAACAAAUCUUCAUUUAAUUGGCUUUUCGACCCUUGUUCUGAUCCCCUAGCCACCCUUGCAGAUUGGGCACCAGCUCCUUGCCAAUAUUGAGGCGACGAACCGGGCGAGGAGGGAUGCCAUCCAGGUGGAGGAGCAUCAUCGGGCCGGAAUCGCCCAUCUCGAAGAGAAGGCAGCCGAGGUAG
rnacentral:lncRNA from 1 species